ACAUCUUAGUACCCGCAGGAAAAGAAAAUAAGAAUGAUUCCCCCAGUAGUGGCGAGCGAACGGGGAAGAGCCCAAACUUCGGACGUUUCGGCGUCCGGAGGGUAGUAGGACCACGUGAACGCACGAGGAAGGCGAGCGGAAGGCGCUGGAAAGCGCCGCCACAGGGCGUGAAAGCCGCGUACGCGAAGCCAGACGAAGCGGAGUGGUAUCCUGAGUAGCGCGGGACACGAGGAAUCCUGCGUGAAUCUGCCGGGACCAUCCGGCAAGGCUAAAUACUC
rnacentral:rRNA from 1 species